rnacentral:rRNA from 1 species
GAUGAACGCUCGCGGCAGGCCUAACACAUGCAAGUCGAGGGAUAAGCCUUCGGGCUAAGACCGGCGCACGGGUGCGUAACGCGUAUACAAUCUGCCUUUUAUCCGGGGGAUAGCCCGAAGAAAUUUGGAUUAAUACCCUAUGGUAUAAGAGCACGGCAUCGUGCACUUAUUAAAGCUACGGCGGUAAAAGAUGCGUAUGCGUUCUAUUAGCUAGUUGGAGAGGUAACGGCUCCCCAAGGCGACGAUAGAUAGGGGUUCUGAGAGGGAUGUCCCCCACACUGGUACUGAGAUACGGACCAGACUCCUACGGGAGGCAGCAGUGAGGAAUAUUGGACAAUGGUCGGAAGACUGAUCCAGCCAUGCCGCGUGCAGGAUGACGGCCUUAUGGGUUGUAAACUGCUUUUGUAAGGGAAGAAUAAGGAGUACGUGUACUUUGAUGACGGUACCUUACGAAUAAGCAUCGGCUAACUCCGUG